rnacentral:rRNA from 1 species
UACGUAGGUGGCAAGCGUUGUCCGGAUUUACUGGGCGUAAAGAGCGCGCAGGCGGUCGUUCAAGUCGCGUGUGAAAGCCCCCGGCUCAACUGGGGAGGGUCACGCGAUACUGAUCGACUCGAAGGCAGGAGAGGGUAGUGGAAUUCCCGGUGUAGUGGUGAAAUUCGUAGAUAUUCGGAAGAACACCAGUGGCGAAGGCGACUCACUGGACAUCUGUUGACGCUGAGGUGCGAAAGCGUGGGGAGCAAACAGG